rnacentral:misc_RNA from 1 species
AACGCACAUUGCGCCCGCCAGCAUUCUGGCGGGCAUGCCUGUCCGAGCGUCAUUUCAACCCUCAAGCCCGCUGCGGCCUGGUGUUGGGGGACGGCCGCGUCCACAGCGAGCGGCCCCCCCGAAAUGAAUUGGCGGCCUCGGCGCCGCCUCCCCCUGCGUAGUAGCGACAGCCGUCUCGCACCGGGAGCGCGCCGCGGCCACUGCCGUAAAACGCCCAACUUUUUCGCGAGUUGACCUCGGAUCAGGUAGGACUACCCGCUGAACUUAA